UACGAAGGGGGCUAGCGUUAAUCGGAAUUACUGGGCGUAAAGCGCACGUAGGCGGUCGGAUAAGUCGGAUGUGAAAGCCCUGGGCUUAACCUGGGAACUGCAUUCGAUACUGUCUGGCUAGAGUAUGGGAGAGGGAAGCAGAAUUUCCGGUGUAGCGGUGAAAUGCGUAGAUAUCGGAAGGAAUACCAAUGGCGAAGGCAGCUUCCUGGCCCAAUACUGACGCUCAGGUGCGAAAGCGUGGGGAUCAAACAGG
rnacentral:rRNA from 1 species